GAUGAACGCUGGCGGCGUGCCUAAUACAUGCAAGUCGAGCGAACAGAUGAGGAGCUUGCUCCUCUGACGUUAGCGGCGGACGGGUGAGUAACACGUGGAUAACCUACCUAUAAGACUGGGAUAACUUCGGGAAACCGGAGCUAAUACCGGAUAAUAUAUUGAACCGCAUGGUUCAAUAGUGAAAGACGGUUUUGCUGUCACUUAUAGAUGGAUCCGCGCCGCAUUAGCUAGUUGGUAAGGUAACGGCUUACCAAGGCAACGAUGCGUAGCCGACCUGAGAGGGUGAUCGGCCACACUGGAACUGAGACACGGUCCAGACUCCUACGGGAGGCAGCAGUAGGGAAUCUUCCGCAAUGGGCGAAAGCCUGACGGAGCAACGCCGCGUGAGUGAUGAAGGUCUUCGGAACGUAAAACUCUGUUAUUAGGGAAGAACAAAUGUGUAAGUAACUAUGCACGUCUUGACGGUACCUAAUCAGAAAGCCACGGCUAACUACGUG
rnacentral:rRNA from 1 species